UUCCAGCCACAACUCCCCAUUCACCUCCGAAACCUCAUGAGGGGCGCAUGAUAUUCCCUAAAGGUCCUCCACCAGACCCAGAACGUCACUUAAAGCCUGGUGCGAAACCUCCGCCAAUUCCAAAGCGUGGUCCAACACCACCUCCUCGAAUGGAUUCCGUUUUCGUUGGUAAACCACUUCCUCCAAAGCCAAGUCGAUUCCGAUUACCGAAAAUCCUUCGCCUGACAUAGUGCUGGCCACGCUUUUAAAUGAUACGUCGAGGGAACUGACUGUAAGUUUGAACGCUGCUGAGUGAACGGUCUGCCAGCUUUGCAUGAGGCCCAGCACAACAUCAUAUUGGCUCUAGCUGAGGGUUUAUCAAAGUGCCGAGAUUGCUGGACCCCAUGCAGACGGCAGCUUCGAGGCUUCAAGGAACCGAAGAGAUCCAUGUUACGGUAUUUCGUCGGCUGGCACGCCUGGCCUCUUUGAAGAAGCAUACGCCUACAGACAUUAUCAAUAACACAGAUAGAAGACACUGCAAAAAACAAAAGCAAACAAGUGAAUUACACAACUCGGAACGCCUGUACUAAAAUGCGCCGGAUCGCUGGCUUUAUUUCUAUAACAUUUCUGACUACGUUCGCCAUUGCACUGAUUGUAGUCAGUAUAUCUGCAUGUGCAGUAGUAUACGUCGUUCCUUUAGCAGUGAGAGAACAGCUCGUCUG